ACAGAUGAGUGUAGCAAUACACUCUGAUGGCUACCGGCAAACGGGUGCGGAACACGUACGCAACCUUCCUUUAAGUGGGGGAUAGCCCGGGGAAACCGGAUUAAUACCCCGUAAUAUUAUGAGAUGGCAUCAUCUUAUAAUUAUAGCUCCGGCGCUUAAAGUAUGGGCGUGCGUCUGAUUAGGUAGUUGGCGGGGUAACGGCCCACCAAGCCUACGAUCAGUAACUGGUGUGAGAGCACGACCAGUCACACGGGACACUGAGUACACGGAGUCCCGACUCCAUACGGGAGGCCAGCAGUAAGGAAUAUUGGUCAAUGGACGCAAGUCUGAACCAGCCAUGCCGCGUGGAGGAUGAAGGUCCUCUGGAUUGUAAACUUCUUUUAUCUGGGAAGAAACCCAAGGUUUCCACUUUGGCUGACGGUACCAGAUGAAUAAGCACCGGCUAACUCCGUGCCAGCAGCCGACGGUAAUACGGAGGGUGCAAGCGUUAUCCGGAUUCACUGGGUUUAAAGGGUGCGUAAGGCAGGAAAAUUAAGUCAGAGGUGAAAUACAGACGAUCAAAAGGUUGAGGUGCCAUUGAUACUGGGGAACUUGAGUACAGACAGAGGUAAGGCGGAAUUGACGGGUGUAGACGGGUGAAAU
rnacentral:rRNA from 1 species